rnacentral:rRNA from 1 species
AUUGAACGCUGGCGGCAGGCCUAACACAUGCAAGUCGAACGAGUGGCGGACGGGUGAGUAAUGUCUGGGAAACUGCCCGAUGGAGGGGGAUAACUACUGGAAACGGUAGCUAAUACCGCAUACCAUCGGAUGUGCCCAGAUGGGCUUAGCGAGUAGGUGGGGGAACGGCUCACCUAGGCGACGAUCCCUAGCUGGUCUGCGAGGAUGACGAGCCACACUGGAGAUGAGACACGGGCCGGACUCCUGCGGGAGGCAGCAGUGGGGAAUAUUGAGCAAUGGGCGCAAGCCUGAUGCAGCCAUGCCGGGUGUAUGAAGAAGGCCUUGGGGUUGUAAAGUACUUUCAGCGAGGAGGCGUUACUCGCAGAAGAAGCACCGGCUAACUCCGUGCGAGCAGCCGCGGUAAUAC